GAUGAACGCUGGCGGCGUGCCUAAUACAUGCAAGUCGAGCGAACAGACGAGGAGCUUGCUCCUCUGACGUUAGCGGCGGACGGGUGAGUAACACGUGGAUAACCUACCUAUAAGACUGGGAUAACUUCGGGAAACCGGAGCUAAUACCGGAUAAUAUAUUGAACCGCAUGGUUCAAUAGUGAAAGACGGUUUUGCUGUCACUUAUAGAUGGAUCCGCGCCGCAUUAGCUAGUUGGUAAGGUAACGGCUUACCAAGGCAACGAUGCGUAGCCGACCUGAGAGGGUGAUCGGCCACACUGGAACUGAGACACGGUCCAGACUCCUAUGGGAGGCAGCAGUAGGGAAUCUUCCGCAAUGGGCGAAAGCUUGACGGAGCAACGCCGCGUGAGUGAUGAAGGUCUUCGGAUCGUAAAACUCUGUUAUUAGGGAAGAACAAAUGUGUAAGUAACUAUGCACGUCUCGACGGUACCUAAUCAGAAAGCCACGGCUAACUACGUG
rnacentral:rRNA from 1 species